AUGGGCAUAGUCCACCACUUUCGGAUUUUCAAGGGAUUUUCAUGUUUCGUUGCUGAAGGCCGGGAUUUUCUUCCUUGCCUCCCUUCAUUUGAUUGGCCUCUUCCAAGUUCCAACCCAAAAUGCCUAUUGGCGCUUGGCUUACUGUCGAAAGCAACACCCCAAAAAAUGAGCUUCUGCCGCAUGAGGCCAAGCAUUCUGGCAGACAUGUAUUUCAAAAACAUCGUCUUCCCUACAUUUUCUAAUCAUUUUUUAUGUUCCACACGUACUCCCAUGGAUCAGCCUCAUUUUUGUGAAGACAUGAGAAUAAUGCAGUACAUUUGCCGCUGUAAUUCGAACAACCACCAGUAA
rnacentral:rRNA from 1 species